GUGCUUGCCUCGGCAGCACAUAUACUAAAACUGGAACAAUACAGAGAAGAUUAGCAUGGCCCCUGAGCAAGGAAGACCUGCAAAUUCGUGAAGUGGUCCAUAUUUUU
ensembl:snRNA U6 U6 spliceosomal RNA